rnacentral:lncRNA from 1 species
GCAAAGUCUAUUUUCCUGUUCUCUGUCAUAGUAUAGUCCAAAAUAAUCUUGAUCAUCUCAAUAUUCCAGAAGACAUUAUGUUGGUCUAUUGCAUUUAUGUAAUUAUGCUAAUUAAACUGGUAGGGAAGUAACAGGCACUUUAAAUGCUCUUAGGCACACAUGUUAAAAAGUGGAAGAUAAACCCCAUGAAAGUUCAGAAGUAUGGGACCUUGGUGACAUUUCUAGGAGUAUGGUAAUGUGGACAUGUAGGGAUAUAGCCUAUAAAGUAAAACGGAGUUUGCUAUAGCAUGAUAUAUCCAUAACAAAAAAAGUCACAACAUUUAAUAGGCCUCUUUGAGUUUUGGAGAAGGUAAAAUAUACCAUAAUUAGUUGUGAUGCUCCACUCCACUUACUGGACAACCCAAUAGCAUGCUGAUUUUUAAUAGAAUCAAGAGUAGAGAGAAACCUCACAAAAAGUUCAAGCUAUAAUGCAAGCUUCCUUGCCACUUGGGCCCAUCACCCAAUAAAUCCAUUGGUGUUAGAAAUAUCGGGACAAAUGGAAAAUUUUAUGGAAUUCUAGCAGUUGAAUUAUGGCAAGGACCCCAGGGCU